CAGAGAUACCAUAAACUAAAAUGCUGCAAAGCUUUAAUUCAAACAAGCAGGCUGGAAACAAGAGCUAGUGCAGUGGUAUAAUUUUCUUUGGGAGAAUCAAAAGCUCAACACAGACUUGAACUUAGGGGGCAAAAUAGCUGGAGUUGAUCAAAUGGAGGCUUGUCUAGGGUCGCAUAAUAAAUCUGUAGGUGAGUUGAGCUUGAACCCAUUUCUCAAUAUUAUGGCACUAUUUUCCAGCCUUUGUGCUUCUGAGCAUCAUGUGGUCAUUUUUAAAACUUGUUUCAUCCCGUCAUUUCUCCCUCCUCUCAGGUAUUUGUCUGGGGCUGGCUGUGCACCCAGAAGGCCAUUCGCUCCAUGAAGAACAUGACAGAGGUACCUGGUCCUACCUGGAUUCUUGGGCAUGCGGGCAGCAGCAGCAGCAGCAGCAGCAGCCACAGUGAACUUCAUCCUAAGGAAAUUAAGCACACGUUGCGUGAGGCUGCUGUGGGGGUGCCAGGUGCUGAGGUUUCUGUAGUGGAUAAAACACAAAAAUACCAGCCCUCAUUUUGAAAAUGGAGUGACAAUAAACAAGAUAAAUUAGAUCUAUGCAACAAAACCAAGCCUUUGUGCACAUCUGUGGUUGUGACCAGUUGGAGAGACAUUAGGAGAUGAGAUACUAUGUUCACUCCUCACAGCUGUACCAGGGACCUGAGAUAUUCCAUCACUAUUCUAUGAGCCUGGGCUGGUGAAUGGUUCCUGCUUUCACUAUUCCAGAUGUCCAGCUCUGUACCUUGCUGCUCUCCUUAAAGCCUGCCUCCAUCUAGAUGGUCUGGCUUGAUGAUAUCCAACCUGACGUGGCCUGAAAAGACAGACAAUGGCUCUUGCUAGCUAAUUAUUGUCAGAUGGAUCGGCAGCCGACCAACGCUUCUGAAGCUAUUGUUUUUGGCAAAUGUUCCUCAGCAUUUUCCUGGGAGCUAUGGUGCAUUACUCACGAGUGACAGAACCAACGAGCUUCAUCUCCCAAGAGGCUGGUGCAUCUGUUUAAAGGAGCAGGCACUAUGCAGAGCAGCCCCCACCCCACCCUCCAUGGCAGAGUGCAGUGGGGGAAGAUGGGGAAACUGAGGCACAGAGAGGUUAGAGAUAUGCCUGAAGCCACACAGCUUGCAAGUGGUGGAGCUGGGAUUUGAACUUGUCGAUCUGGCUGCAGAGCUGAGCUCUUGGAGACUAGGUUUUACUGCCUAGUAGCAUGUAAGCCUGGAACUGCCAGCAGUCAUUUUGCUGAAAGGAAAUGUGGAUCUGAAAUUACCAGUGCAGUGAGUGUCAUGAAGAAGCACAGAGGUCUAAACAACACUUACUGGGAGUCUCUAAGCUACUCAAGAGAUCAGGAAGGGACUUUCCUGAGAAGCUGAGAUCUGCAUUAUGAUGUCAAGAGGCAGUAUGAGACAGUGGCUAUUAAGGCUCUGGGGUUACAUCAUCUGGAGACUGAGAACUUGGGAUGCUCCUUGUUCAUCCAAGCAUUUGAACAAAUCCAGUGUCCUUUUUGAGCAAAAUAUGAGCCCCACCUUUAGAAUCUGUGAGUCUCCCCUUCAGAUGGGAAAGCUGUUUUUGUGGCUAAAAUUAGAAACAACCCAAAUGUCUAUGAAAUGAUGCAUGGAUAGAUAAAAUGUGAUAUACCCACACAAUGGAAAAGUAUUUAUCAAUAAAAAGGACUGAAGUCCUGAUACAUACUCCAACAUGAAUAAAUCUCCAAAACAUUAUGCUAAGUGAAAGGAGCCAGACACAAAAGACCACGUUCUGUGUAAUUCCAUUUAUAUAAAAUGGCAAAAAACCAAAUUCAUAAAAACAGAAAAUAGAUUAGUGCCUAGAUUUGAGGGUGAAAAAAUUAACUACAUGAUCUUUUUGGAGUGAUGAAAUAUUCUAUAGUGGAUUAUUGUGAUAGUUGCACAACUUCUUAAAUUUACUAAAUAUCAUUGAAAUGAAUAAAUUUUUAUGUUGCAUACAUUAUAUCCUAAUAAAUUUAUUUUUAAAAACAUCCUUUAUGACUGAGUUAAAUAAACUUGCAAGCUCCUAAAUUUGUAUGGUAGGAUGUUAAUUUUUAGUUUAAGACAUUUGGUUUCUAAAGAUACUGAAUCUCCAGAGAAGUCAAAUGGAAUAUUAGCAGUUGGGCUAAUCUGAGAUAUAACCUUGAUGAAUUUGCUAGGGAUGUCUGAUGGUUGGGAGGGACAUUGAACGUUUUGAGCCAACAAGAUCUCUGACUUCCAUCCUUAUAGUGAACUCUGUUACUUUGGGCAGCAUUAUCUCAUCUACCUGUUGAAAUCCCCUUUCUAAGUUAUUAUCAUCAAGAUUGUUCAAAUAGAAACCAAUAUUGCUGUAUUUUGUCUUUUGUACAGCCAUAUUUGAAGACAUUGGCUGUUAGGUUUCUUGAGAUCCCUAAAAUGGGAUCCCUUAGAUCUCAUUCCAUGAAAAUUAUUCUCAUCGCGUGCAGAAAAUUAUUUUAUGAUUUGGAAAAACUUGUUUCUAAUUCAUCCCUUGCAGGUUACAUGAUCUGGAGACUGAGAACUUGGGACACUCCUUGUUCAUCCAAGCGUUUGAACAAAUCCAGUGUCCUUCUUGAGCAAAAUAUGAGCCCCACCUUUAGAAUAUGUGAAUCUCCCUUUCAGAUGGAAAAGCUUUUUUUUUGCAUUAAAUAAACUUGAUCCUUAGAUCC